AAAUGAAAUUGUAUGUAGAUUGCUUGGAGCUAGAUGUCAGGCUAAAAGCACAGCAGUGGUUCAAGUCUUUGGAACAGAUGGCCCUCAUCAUAACAAGUGGCAGAAACGGCACUGUGGAGUUGCCACUUUCACUAAGGAUAGUGCACGCAAGUCUUAUUAUAUCCAGGUGUUUGAUAUUGAUGGCGAGUCUUGUGUGUUUGAACAGGAACUGUACUAUCAUUUCAAGUAUUCAGUUUCAAAACUUUCUUCCACCAGUUUGAAGCAG